rnacentral:rRNA from 1 species
UACGUAGGCAGCAAGCGUUGUUCGGAGUUACUGGGCGUAAAGGGUGCGUAGGCGGUUGUUUAAGUUUGGUGUGAAAUCUCCCGGCUCAACUGGGAGGGUGCGCCGAAUACUGAAUGACUCGAGUGCGGGAGAGGAGAGUGGAAUUCCUGGUGUAGCGGUGAAAUGCGUAGAUAUCAGGAAGAACACCCGUGGCUAAGGCGGCUCUCUAGUACGGUACUGACGCUGAGACGCGAAAGCGUGGGGAGCGAACAGG